rnacentral:rRNA from 1 species
ACGGGGGGGGCAAGCGUUGUUCGGAAUUACUGGGCGUAAAGCGCGCGUAAGCGGCUCUCCAAGUCGGGCGUGAAAGCUCUGGGCUUAACCCAGAAACCGCGCUCGAUACUGCUGAGCUAGAGUGUGGAAGGGGCUACUGGAAUUCCGUGUGUAGCGGUGAAAUGCGUAGAUAUACGGAGGAACACCAGCGGCGAAGGCAGCCUUCUGGGCCAACACUGACGCUCAUGCACGAAAGCGUGGGGAGCAAACAGGA